CAGCUAUAUCUCAAAUAAAAAUGAGAGAAGAUUUUGAGGCUACAAUUGGGGUAAAAAACCAAUCCGUCUGUAACUGUCACGUACACACGCAGUGUGUCUCGUCUCGGCUUAGCAGGUAUCGCUGAUUCAUUCAUGGAACCCUUUCGAUUUCAAUUGAUGCCAAAUUCCCUGUGCUUACUCAUUUGCCGCUUCAAAUGACGAUUAAGGAUAAUCUUAUUUUCUCAAUCUCUGAAUGUGAUGUCCUUUGCAAUAAGACCAAGUUUGUUUCAGGAGUGAAGAUUCUGCUGAUGUGGAGAAUCCUGGAAAUAAUUUGUAUGUUACAGGCUUGUGCACAAGGAUAACUGACAGUGAUCUUCACUAGUAUUUCAGUAAAGAGGGAAAGGUUGUCGACUGCCACUUGGUAAAAGAUCCUUGUACUAAAGGAUCUCGUGGAUUCAGUUUUGUCACUAUGGGAACUAAUGGCGAUGCUGAGCGCUGUAUCAAGUAUUUGAACCGCUCUGUUUCUCUGUUUUUGAAGGCAAAGAGGAGUCGUGGCAGGACUCCAACUCCUGGCAAAUACUGUGGUCCAAGAGAUAAGCGGGAUAAAUUGGAGGAUCAACUUUCCUGGACUUUUACAACUCUACCAUAAUCUAAUGUCUUCAACACUUGAUUUGAUCUAAAAAAUCCCAUUCUUGUUUUAUAAAAACUAGCAUAUUACAUUUGUAGUUCAAACUUUAAACCACUGCUGCAUUUGGAUGAAUAGCUUGCAUGCUAUAUUCUAGUGUCAA